GUCAGUCUUCUGUGGAAAAUCAUCAUGACGGUUUACGUGAUUGUGACUUUUAGUGAUUCAAUUAUAUCAAAUUGUGAGUUCGCGUUCGUGUCAUAUUCAACAUGUUUCGACUUGUCGCCAAAUUGACAAGCACUUCUUUCUAUUCGUGAUUCGAGAAUCGAAAUUGUGACGUGUUACAUCGAUAGACUAUCGAUAUUCAUGGUGAAUAACGGUUUCAUUUUUUUAUUGCGUAAUAUAUAUAUUCUGCGUAUUCCUAUGUUUGAUGACUAUCUUCGCAAUGGCAUAGAUCACGAUAGUAUAAAUUUUUUAUAUAGAUUG